rnacentral:rRNA from 1 species
CAGCCGCCGCGGGAAUACGAAGGGGGCUAGCGUUGUUCGGAAUUACUGGGCGUAAAGCGCACGUAGGCGGACAUUUAAGUCAGGGGUGAAAUCCCGGGGCUCAACCCCGGAACUGCCUUUGAUACUGGGUGUUUAGAGUAUGGAAGAGGUGAGUGGAAUUCCGAGUGUAGAGGUGAAAUUCGUAGAUAUUCGGAGGAACACCAGUGGCGAAGGCGGCUCACUGGUCCAUUACUGACGCUGAGGUGCGAAAGCGUGGGGAGCAAACAGGAUUAGAUACCCCUGUAGUCCCUGUCUCUUAUAC